UGCCAGCCGCCGCGGUAAUACGGAGGUUGCAAGCGUUGUUCGGAAUUACUGGGCGUAAAGGGGGCGCAGGCGGUUCGAUUAGUCUGGAGUGAAAGCCCGGGGCUCAACCCCGGAAGGCCUUUGGAUACUGUCGAACUAGAGUACGGGAGAGGAGAGCGGAAUACCGAGUGUAGAGGUGAAAUUCGUAGAUAUUCGGUGGAACACCAGUGGCGAAGGCGGCUAACUGGACUGAUACUGACGCUGAGGUGCGAAAGUGUGGGGAGCAAACAGGAUUAGAUA
rnacentral:rRNA from 1 species